rnacentral:rRNA from 1 species
AACGAACGCUGGCGGCAUGCCUAACACAUGCAAGUCGAACGAGACCUUCGGGUCUAGUGGCGCACGGGUGCGUAACGCGUGGGAACCUGCCCUUAGGUUCGGAAUACCUCCCCGAAAGGGGUGCUAAUACCGGAUAAUGUCUUCGGACCAAAGAUUUAUCGCCUUUGGAUGGGCCCGCGUUGGAUUAGCUAGUUGGUAGGGUAAAAGCCUACCAAGGCGACGAUCCAUAGCUGGUCAGAGAGGAUGAUCAGCCACACUGGGACUGAGACACGGCCCAGAAUCCUACGGGAGGCAGCAGUGGGGAAUAUUGGACAAUGGGCGAAAGCCUGAUCCAGCAAUGCCGCGUGAGUGAUGAAGGCCUUAGGGUUGUAAAGCUCUUUUACCCGGGAUGAUAAUGACAGUACCGGGAGAAUAAGCUCCGGCUAACUCCGUG